GCUAGUUGGAGGGGUAACGGCCCGCCAAGGCGACGAUCAUUAGGGGUUCUGAGAGGAAGGUCCCCCACAUUGGAACUGAGAAACGGUCCAAACUCCUACGGGAGGCAGCAGUGAGGAAUAUUGGUCAAUGGGCGAGAGCCUGAACCAGCCAAGUCGCGUGAAGGAAGAAGGUCUUAUGGAUUGUAAACUUCUUUAGCAGAGGGAUAAAGGUUAUUACGAGUUAAUAAUUUGCAGGUACUCUGCGAAAAAGGAUCGGCUAACUCCGUGCCAGCAGCCGCGGUAAUACGGAGGAUUCGAGCGUUAUCCGGAUUUAUUGGGUUUAAAGGGUGCGUAGGCGGAUUUGUAAGUCAGUGGUGAAAGUUUCCGGCUUAACCGGGAGAAUGCCGUUGAGACUGCAGGUCUUGAGUGCAAGCGAGGUAAGUGGAAUGUGUUGUGUAGCGGUGAAAUGCAUAGAUAUAACACAGAACACCGAUUGCGAAGGCAGCUUACUAGUAUGUAACUGACGCUGAGGCACGAAAGCGUGGGGAGCAAACAGGAUUAGAUACCCUGGUAGUCCACGCAGUAAACGAUGAAUACUAGCUGUAUGCGAUAGACAGUAUGCGGCGG
rnacentral:rRNA from 1 species